CGAUCCACACCCAGGGAGACGACACAGCUGGGUCCCUACCCACACGGGGCAGAACUGCACAACGAGGAAGCCCCCCUGGGGGCGGCCUGGCAUGGAGGAGGGAGCCUCCACAGGAAGGCGGGACCGGCGGGACCAACAGGAUGUGCAGGGGCCCCUCCCUCGAAGCUUCGCCCUCAAGUAGGACCCAAAGCUCCCUCAAACGACCCCUGAACAGGCCGACCUUGAAGGACCCCACAAGAACCCAGGUUGCUGGCAGAGGCUCAGAGGUGGCCAUGGCAGGCCAGCGGCGGCCGUC
rnacentral:lncRNA from 1 species